CAGCAGCCACGGGAAUACGGAGGGUGCAAGCGUUAAUCGGAAUUACUGGGCGUAAAGCGCACGCAGGCGGUCUGUCAAGUCAGAUGUGAAAUCCCCGGGCUUAACCUGGGAACUGCAUUUGAAACUGGCAGGCUAGAGUCUUGUAGAGGGGGGUAGAAUUCCAGGUGUAGCGGUGAAAUGCGUAGAGAUCUGGAGGAAUACCGGUGGCGAAGGCGGCCCCCUGGACAAAGACUGACGCUCAGGUGCGAAAGCGUGGGGAGCAAACAGGAUUAGAUACCCGAGUAGUCCCUGUCUCUUAUAC
rnacentral:rRNA from 1 species